AAUUGCUAGGUGAAGAGACUUUGGUGCAACUGGUGGAGUUGGCUUUGAUAUGGAUGCUCAGUGAAGAGACUUUGGUGUUGCUAUUACAGAAUGAAUGUAGAUGUAUGUUUAGGACAUGAUUUGAGAAGCGGGUUAUGGGACUGAAGUUUGAUCUGUUUAUGGUGCAUUUUAGUAGUUGCAAGUAACGCUUUUGGUGCUGUGUUGGUGUUGCAGUUGUAUCAUUGAUUGUGAAAAGGGAAGAAUUGAAGACUCGGGUAUGGUGUUGGGUCUGUGUUGUUGCAGUAACUGGAGUUGGUGCAAAUUGAGUUAAGAAGCUGGGAAUGGCAAGGAAGUUUUGGUGGGGUUUGUGAUUGAGUUUAAAUGGCAGGUAAAGAAGGCUGCUUGAGUUAAGAUAAUAGUUAGGAUCACAGAUAUAAAGUAGAAGUGGCAGGAACAAAUAGCUCAAGUUGAAAAUGCAUUAAA